rnacentral:rRNA from 1 species
UACAGAGGGGGCAAGCGUUGUUCGGAAUUACUGGGCGUAAAGGGCGCGUAGGCGGCCUGUUAAGUCGAACGUGAAAUCCCUGGGCUCAACCCAGGAACUGCGUCCGAUACUGGUGGGCUCGAAUCCGGGAGAGGGAUGUGGAAUUCCAGGUGUAGCGGUGAAAUGCGUAGAUAUCUGGAGGAACACCGGUGGCGAAGGCGGCAUCCUGGACCGGUAUUGACGCUGACGGCGCGAA